AACGAACGCUGGCGGCGCGCCUAAUACAUGCAAGUCGAGCGAGAAGACGUAGCAAUACGUUUGUAAAGCGGCGAACGGGUGAGGAAUACAUGGGUAACCUACCCUCGAGUGGGGAAUAACUAGCCGAAAGGUUAGCUAAUACCGCGUACGCUCCUUGGACUUCGGUUCAGGGAGGAAAGCGAUACCGUGGGUAUCGCGCUCUUGGAUGGGCUCAUGUCCUAUCAGCUUGUUGGUGAGGAACGGCUCACCAAGGCUUCGACGGGUAGCUGGUCUGAGAGGACGAUCAGCCACACUGGCACUGCGACACGGGCCAGACUCCUACGGGAGGCAGCAGUAAGGAAUAUUGCGCAAUGGGCGAAAGCCUGACGCAGCGACGCCGCGUGGGGGAUGAAGGUCUUC
rnacentral:rRNA from 1 species